AGUUAAUGAACUUGUAACUAAGUAUAUAUUUUGAAAAUAUAAUAAAGGAUUAAAACCUAUUAACUU
rnacentral:tRNA from 1 species